GACGAACGCUGGCGGCGUGCCUAAUACAUGCAAGUAGAACGCACAGUUUAUACCGUAGCUUGCUACACCAUAGACUGUGGGUUGCGAACGGGUGAGUAACGCGUAGGUAACCUGCCUGGUAGCGGGGGAUAACUAUUGGAAACGAUAGCUAAUACCGCAUAAUAUUAAUUAUUGCAUGAUAAUUAAUUGAAAGGUGCAAUUGCACCACUACCAGAUGGACCUGCGUUGUAUUAGCUAGUAGGUGAGGUAACGGCUCACCCAGGCGACGAUACAUAGCCGACCUGAGAGGGUGAUCGGCCACACUGGGACUGAGACACGGCCCAGACUCCUACGGGAGGCAGCAGUAGGGAAUCUUCGGCAAUGGACGAAAGUCUGACCGAGCAACGCCGCGUGAGUGAAGAAGGUUUUCGGAUCGUAAAGCUCUGUUGUAAGAGAAGAACGGGUGUGAGAGUGGAAAGUUCACACUGUGACGGUAUCUUACCAGAAAGGGACGGCUAACUACGUG
rnacentral:rRNA from 1 species